CUAUUUGGGUACCUCCCUGUUGUCUGUGUAGGCUAGUGUCAAAUUAACGUGAUAUCCUAUUAGUCUGUGGUGAAACAUAGCAUAUUAAUAACCUGUGGAUUAGAAAUUUUAAUUUAUCAAAACAAAACAAUAUUUUUAUUUUUCAGGUUAAAGAGAAUAUUUAAAAAUUGAGCAAAGUUUUACUAAUUUUUAGUGGUCUUAUGAGCAAAGUUUACUUCGUUUGUGUUAUCGUUACUCAAAACUAUAAAAGUAAACAAAAAAGAAAACUACCUUUAUCUACUUUUGUCGAUGUCCAUUUCUUAAGAAGUUUCUCAUUAAAACAACCCAUAACUCAGUGUCCACGCCCAUGGCAGAGCUAGGGUGGUUAGCGUAACUACAAGUGGUUAACUACAGUUAGCCAACUAAAGAACAAUGCCCGAUUAAUUAGUGGUCGCGCUACUUAUCUACUACAUGUCCCUGCUGCCAGUUAUAGCAAUAAUUUCUUUGUUGGGAAGUAUUUAGCACAUCCUGGCUGCGCAAAAGGAGAGGACUAAAUUGAUUACUAUGAACAGACCAUUACGAUGAACCACUGAUAUUGACACAGAGACAUGAAGAUGAGUGCUUUGACAACAAGACUGACUAGCUGAGCCAGCUUUAAGAAUUAUGUGGUGUGUGGUGUGUGUGUGUAAUCCCAGGAGCUCUCUAUGUCAGCCAUCCAUCUAUAUUCUUACUAAUUUUUGUUAAUUAUUAAAUAAAUUUGAUUAUUUAGUAUGUAACUUCAUUGUACCUAUCCUGUGAUUGACUGAAGCUGUUAGAAAGGUUGCAUCUGUAAUAAUUUAUUUA
rnacentral:lncRNA from 1 species